GCUGCUUUAAGUGGUGGCAGCUGCAUUUUCUUGAUUGCUACAACCUGAGGGAUACACAAAGCAACAGCCUCUAAUCAGAGAUUUUAUGAUGGUGGCUUCUGUUCCUCAAGUUGCCAAAAUUCAACAGUUUCUAUUGUAACUUAAAAAAGGACACAAUGAUGAGCAAGGAUGCAUUACAAGAUUCACCCUGGUCCUGAGAUUUGCUCCUUCUCCGUUUGUUCCAUGCCGAAACCAAGCCAAAGGGCAUUAUGGGAACACAAAUUAGCCUUGUAGAACAAAGCUACUUCUUCGUGUGCUGGAUGACGUUGAUAAAACCGAACAAGCUUUGAUUUACCAUACAAGAGAUAGACCGGCAGGCCAGCAAACUAAAUUAUGCAAGUAUGAGUUGAGGAAUCCUUAAGAGGAGUACAUAGAGAGGAAGUGAAAACUUGAUUUGAAGAAUACUCCAUUACACUAACCUUCCAACAACCUUUGAGAUUUUAGAGAGAGAAAGUGAGAUAGAGAGUACUUUAAGGAAAAGAAAAAGCACGAGUCUCAAGAGUCAGGAGUAGGGGUUGGUUUGAUAGUGAGAUAGAAGCUUAAGUCUCUUUUAUUUUCUAUUUUUUCCUGUAACUGUUUCUCUUGAAAGAGUGAAAAAAUGGUCUGAGCUGUUGAGAUGGCAUUUUCAUGGAAAAUCUUAAUAAAAAAAAUCUUAAUAAAAAAAGAAAAAUUAAAUAA